UACGUAGGGGGCAAGCGUUAUCCGGAUUUACUGGGUGUAAAGGGAGCGCAGACGGCAGUGCAAGUCUGAAGUGAAACUCCGCAGCUCAACUGCGGAACUGCUUUGGAAACUGUACAGCUAGAGUGUCGGAGGGGUAAGCGGAAUUCCUAGUGUAGCGGUGAAAUGCGUAGAUAUUAGGAAGAACACCGGUGGCGAAGGCGGCUUACUGGACGAUCACUGACGUUGAGGCUCGAAAGCGUGGGGAGCAAAC
rnacentral:rRNA from 1 species